UUAAAUGUAACAUAAAAAAAUAACUUAACAAAUUAAAUUUGUUUUAUAGUUGCAAAACAUGUAAAACCUUAAAUUUCAUGGACCAUUGACUAUGACCAUGUCAAUAGUCAUGUAAUAAAUAAACAAUAGAUAUGCCAAUGACAUGACAAUGUUUAAGGCUCGAUAAUAAUUGUCUGUACCAAUCACAGUGUUUCAAAAUAACUCGGGAACAAAAAAAUUAUUCGCUCACCAGUUUAUUAUGUGCAGAGUUAAAUGGUUAGGGAUAGAUAGUAAAUGACUAUAUUUAACUUUGACCCCAUUCAAUGUACAUAUCUGUUAUCGGUGAUGAAAUUAUAAUUUUGGGGAAUUAAAUUUA